AGUGUCAAAAUAGCUGUAAGGGAAGAAAGGGAAGGACCAAACCCACCAUUAAAUACCAACUCUCUCUCUCUCUCUCUCUCUAUGGCACAGUGUCACAGAAUAAAAAGCCUUCUUAGGGAUCCAUCAUCGUCGCCCUGAGAAGAGAAGAGAUCAGAGAAUCACGAGACGGCUUUAUCUCUCUUUUCUCAAUUUCUAUGUUUCUUAUCCCCUUCUGUCUGUUUUCCAUUUAUCUGAUUUCCUCAAACGCCACCAAAUAUAGGAUUCCUUCCUUCGUCCUCGCUGGUGAUAUUCUUCACUCAAUUCACAACUUGUUGGUCUGAGAGCUUGAAGCUGCCAGCAUGAUCUGGUAAUUAACCUGCCUGCCGCACUACUGCUUAAUAUCUAUCUAAAUCUAUAUAGUUAGUGGGAGAAAAUUCUAUAUUCAAUAUUCGUUCCGACGGUGGAUUUUAGAGUUUGUGUUCAAGAGGUACGUAUAUUUAGUUUCAAUUCCUUCUAGAGAUGAGUUAAGCCACAUGGAUUUCUGAAAAUAAAUGAGUUAUUUUUUGUAAAUCGAAAAGAUUAAUCAGUCAGCGAGAAGCUACACACCUAUAUAUAUACAGAUCUCGUUAAUGUCCUAGAUUUGGUUCUUUCUGCUGGGGCAUUCUGAUUAACUGGGAAAGGAUAUAGCAAGCUUGAGCAAAUGAGGAUGCGAUAAUUCAAAAUAUUUAGAAGGAUUUUAAUAAUUAAGUCGUAUUGUUAUCCACAAUUACUGGGUAUGAAAAAGAAAAGAUAAUUAAAGAAAAUUAACGAGAUAAAUUAAAAAUGAUUCCAAUGAUAUCUUUAAUUUAAAUAAUCAAGGCUGUUAAAUAAUGAUAAUAAGAGUAUACGGCAAAUUACAUCCACACCUUUAAUUUCUCAAUCCACAAACCAAAUGAUUUUUCCUUUGAAGUGGAUUUUAUAAUUGAUAGGCAAGCUAAUUUCCUAGAAUUAGAUAAAGUUAAAUCCUAAUACGACCACUAAUUGAAGAGAAAACUUGGUAAUUAUAAGAGAUGAGGUUCCGUCAUCAGGUCAUCUUGCAGCUUCAAUCACUCAAAUACCAACAGAUCCGUUUCUCAACUUCUGAGUUCAUUCUCUGGGAUUAUUGCUCUCAUGCCCUCAAUUCAUCAAUUAUCUGAUAAGUACAAUUGUUCUGAAACAAACUAACAGAAAGAGGUUUGUCACUUACGUACCACCCUUGCCUCUUUGGUAUCGUACUGCCUCAAGGCAGCAAGGUGUCACCUGCAAGAUUGAAGAAGACAACGAUGAGCAAGACAAGAAAUGCAAAGAGAUAAAAGAAAAUAAUAACUUCUAACGGGUUAAGAGGCCAAGGGGGUGAGGCAUUAAAUGGAAGGUCAAGAUUUAUUAAAAGGUGCAAGAGUGAAUGAUCUAAUGGUGGAGUUUACCGGUUUGAAAAAUUGAUGAUUCCAAAGUGAGAGCUAAAAUAUCUAAGGGCCAAGAAAUUGUCCUGCAAAUUCAAGUUGAUCCAAGGGCGUAAAUCAAACAUGGCUUUGGGUUUAGGUGAUAAUUCAUAUAUUUAAUUGAAGAUCAUUUCAAGGAUUCAAACAGAGCUAAGUUCUUGAGAUUAAUUCUUCUCUUUUGUCCUUUUUCUUAAGCAUAAUUCUCAUUCUAUUUGUGUAUAAUUGUGCCUAAGUGUAAUUUUUCCAUAUAUAUGUUAGGGAUAUCUAAUAUGUGUGAUUGAAUGGAAUUAACUCUUCAAUUGAUCAAUUGUAUAUUCAAUUUCAUGUAAUUUUUGGACUCUA